CCGCUGGCAGAGGGGUCCGCGCCUGAUUAGCUAGUUGGUGAGGUAACGGCUCACCAAGGCUGCGAUCAGUAGCCGUCCUGAGAGGGAGCACGGCCACACUGGAACUGAGACACGGUCCAG
rnacentral:rRNA from 1 species